CCUACGGGGGGCUGCAGUGGGGAAUAUUGGACAAUGGGGGGAACCCUGAUCCAGCCAUGCCGCGUGUGUGAAGAAGGCCCUCGGGUUGUAAAGCACUUUCAGUGAGGAAGAACGCCUGGUGGUUAAUACCCAUCAGGAAAGACAUCACACACAGAAGAAGCACCGGCUAACUCCGUGCCAGCAGCCGCGGUAAUACGGAGGGUGCGAGCGUUAAUCGGAAUUACUGGGCGUAAAGCGCGCGUAGGUGGCUUGAUAAGCCGGUUGUGAAAGCCCCGGGCUCAACCUGGGAACGGCAUCCGGAACUGUCAAGCUAGAGUGCAGGAGAGGAAGGUAGAAUUCCCGGUGUAGCGGUGAAAUGCGUAGAGAUCGGGAGGAAUACCAGUGGCGAAGGCGGCCUUCUGGACUGACACUGACACUGAGGUGCGAAAGCGUGGGUAGCAAACAGGAUUAGAUACCCCAGUAGUC
rnacentral:rRNA from 1 species